rnacentral:rRNA from 1 species
UACGGAGGGUGCUAGCGUUGUUCGGAAUUACUGGGCGUAAAGCGCGCGUAGGCGGCUUUGCAAGUCGGGUGUGAAAUCCCCAAGCUUAACUUGGGAACUGCAUUCGAGACUGCAUUGCUAGAGUAUGGGAGAGGGAAGUGGAAUUUCCGGUGUAGCGGUGAAAUGCGUAGAUAUCGGAAGGAACAUCAGUGGCGAAAGCGACUUCCUGGACCAAUACUGACGCUCAUGUGCGAAAGCGUGGGGAGCAAACAGG